rnacentral:rRNA from 1 species
UACGUAGGUGGCAAGCGUUGUCCGGAUUUAUUGGGUUUAAAGGGUGCGUAGGCGGUUUUGUAAGUCAGUGGUGAAAUACUCCAGCUUAACUGGAGGGGUGCCAAUGAUACUGCAGAACUUGAGUACAGAUGAGGUAGGCGGAAUUGACGGUGUAGCGGUGAAAUGCAUAGAUAUCGUCAAGAACACCGAUAGCGAAGGCAGCUUACUGGGCUGUAACUGACGCUGAGGCACGAAAGUGUGGGGAGCAAACAGG